GUCCUCUUUACACCAUGAGGUGCAGACCUGCAGACGCGCUGCAGACCCGCGGACUUCUACACGACGGUGCCUCGUGCUCUCCAACUAAACUCAUGAUGCAGAGAAAGUGGUCUGGAUGUGCUGCAGAUGAUGAUGAUGGAGGAUGAUGUGCUGAAGUUCCUUAAAGCAGGAACCCACUUGUGAGGAAUCUGGACUUCCAGAUGGAGCAGUACGUCUACAAAGAAGAAGCCUUGAAGGUGUCUAAACUACAAACCUGAGUGCUGACAGCCAGCGCCACGUUUGUCAACUCCUCCAGGAACAAACAGCGUUAUCUGUGGGUCAUAUGCGGUGGAUGUCGGUCAGAGAGGUGUCGAGGAUGAGGGGAACGAUCUCCAGGGAACAACCCUGCAAAGUCAAAGCCUGAUGUGUAUUUCUAAAGAGCCAGAGGAGAACUGCAGUGCCCAGACUGCCACUGAAGACUGGUCUCCAGCUCCCACUGGCUGGUGUUCUAUCUGAAGUCAGCUACUGUGCAGAAAUGCACAACACUAUAAGCCAAGAAAUCAAUAAAGUUGGAUGGUUUUCUUAAAA